AAUACGUUCCCGGGCCUUGUACACACCGCCCGUCAAGCCAUGGAAGCCGGGGUACCUAAAGUCGGUGGCCUAACCGCAAGGAGGAGCCGCCUAGGGUAAACUGGUGACUGGGGCU
rnacentral:rRNA from 1 species